UCCAGCUGGGGGCAGCGCAGUCAACCGCCGAGUGGUGGCGCACAGCGCUCGCUUAAGCGGGAAGGAAGGGAGGCGCUGGACUUGCAGUGAUUGGCAGGCAGAAAUGGGGCGGAGAUAAGGCAGGUUUUCUGAGAGAUUAUUGGCUGAAUUGGCUGCGGGGGCGGGAGAAGAGAAGACUCGGCCGGGGAUUCGUGGAAGUGGAGCGGAAGUCGAUCGCUAAAGCUGUUGAGAAGAGUGUGAAGAGAAAGGAGCAGCGUUUGCGGCAUCGGCGUCUGUCAGCAGGCGUAGGCGGGACCACCGUCGCCCCCUGUCUGGAAGACUCGAGGGGCCCCCGCACUCCCUCGCUCCGCUUCCACCGACGGCAACAAACCUAAUCUUAUACUUUUCUUUAGUAACCACGUUAAAAAAUAAAUAUAUAUUUUAAUAUGUUAAACUUAAUGUAUAGCCACAAUAUCAUUUCAACAUGUGAUCGGUAUUAAAAUAAACACGAACCUGAGGUAUCUUUUAUUUUGUUACUUAGUACUAACGGUUUGAAGACCUGUGUGUUUUACACGUUACACCACAUCAGUGAUCUGGACGCUCCGUUUUCACCGGAAAUAGUUGAGGUUUCAUAAAACUUAGAGUUGAAAGGGAGAUUCACAUGCCCAAAUGUUUCCCAGCAUGUUAAAAUUUCCCAUGAACCCAGUCUCAUGUCGGUGAUAAAUUGAGAUAUUAAUUGAUGAAAGUUAAGCGACGUGGAAUGUUCUGUUUCACAGUGGCACUAGCCACAUUCAGGUGCUUGUGAUCCCCUGUGGCUUCCGAUAUUGGAUAGCCAAUACCAACUUCAGCCAAACUGACCUUUUUGUUUCAUAAAAUCUGCCAUGACACCCCCCACUUCUUUUCUGGUGCCUCCUUGUUCUUCAGGUCUCUCCUCAGAUGUCUUCUGGGAGAAUCCAAGAGCCCCCUGAACAGCAUUCAAAUUCGUAGAACGUAUAAUGCUUCACACACUGGUAAUGAAGAAGCAGCAAUGAUUGCUUUAUGGGAGCCUUGUGUGGUCUGUGGCGCCCAUGUAUGGUCUGUAAGUCUGGAAGUUUUGAUAAGUUUUAACUUCAACUUUUUAUAAUCAAUAUGUAUAUAUUUUAUGAUUGUUGUUUAGUCACUAAAUCACAUCCAGCUCUUUUAUGACUGCAUGGACUGUAGACUGCUAUGCUCCUCUGUCCAGGUGAUUUCCCAGGCAAGAAUACUGGAGUAGGUUACCAUUUCCUUCUCCAAGGGAUCUUCCAACCCAAGGAUUGACCCAGGGUCUUCUGCAUUGGCUGAUGGUUUCUUUACUACUGAGUCACCUGGAAAGCCUGCAUUUUAUAGUAAUAAAUGAUAAAAUAGUAUCUAUAUAUAUUUUAUGCAUUUAUGACAUACCUUUCUUAAUUUUUUUUAAUAUUUCUAAGCUAUACCUUUAACCAAUUGUUGCAAAUCUCCAAAAAUGUUUCCAAUGUAC